AUCAUGUGGUCUCUUAAAUCCUAUGACUGCGUCAUCAGAAGUUGGAGAUGGGUGGAAUUGUCCUGGUAGUUUGCUGUGAUCACAGGCCAAAAAAAUCCUAAAGAUGCAGAUGUCAGCUGGUCAGUCAGUGGAGCUCCCACAGGCACUAUCAAACAGCCCCUGCAGGGUCAGAUGCCAAUCAUUGUGAAGUCCAGAUUGUGUAACCUGCGUAGCCUGUCCCCCAAAGACCUGAAGAAGAAGAGGCUUUCCUGGUGUUCUCCUCCUUCCAGUAUGCAGUUACCUGGUAAUACUUUGUCUCCCAGAACUGCUCCAUCUUCUGGAAGCCAAGCCUGUCCUUCAAAGAGUGGACUUCCACCUCUGUCAAAUGUGACAGGUAAAACAGCAGCUUGGACCGAUUCCUGAUGACACUUCAUGAAUCCAGCUGACAUUUGAGCAACCCACGGGACUUUACCCAUCUUCUGUGACCUGAAACAAUCAAUAAAUAAUC